rnacentral:rRNA from 1 species
AUUGAACGCUGGCGGCAUGCCUUACACAUGCAAGUCGAACGGUAACAGGUUAAGCUGACGAGUGGCGAACGGGUGAGUAAUGUAUCGGAACGUGCCCAGUCGUGGGGGAUAACUGCUCGAAAGAGCAGCUAAUACCGCAUACGACCUGAGGGUGAAAGCGGGGGAUUGCAAGACCUCGCGCGAUUGGAGCGGCCGAUAUCAGAUUAGGUAGUUGGUGAGGUAAAGGCUCACCAAGCCGACGAUCUGUAGCUGGUCUGAGAGGACGACCAGCCACACUGGGACUGAGACACGGCCCAGACUCCUACGGGAGGCAGCAGUGGGGAAUUUUGGACAAUGGGCGCAAGCCUGAUCCAGCCAUGCCGCGUGCGGGAAGAAGGCCUUCGGGUUGUAAACCGCUUUUGUCAGGGAAGAAAAGGUUCUGGCUAAUACCUGGGACUCAUGACGGUACCUGAAGAAUAAGCACCGGCUAACUACGUG